ACCGGAAAUUUCUUCCAGCUGGGAAACAUUCCAGCUAGAAAGCAAAUUUCUAGCUGGGAUAUUUCCCAGCUGGAAGAGAUUUCCAGU
rnacentral:pre_miRNA from 1 species